rnacentral:rRNA from 1 species
UACGAAGGGGGCUAGCGUUGUUCGGAUUUAUUGGGCGUAAAGAGCGUGUAGGCGGCCAGGUAGGUCUGCUGUGAAAACUCGAGGCUCAACCUCGAGAUGUCGGCGGAAACCAUCUGGCUAGAGUCCGGAAGAGGAGAGUGGAAUUCCUGGUGUAGCAGUGAAAUGCGCAGAUAUCAGGAAGAACACCAGCGGCGAAGGCGGCGCUCUGGGCCGGAACUGACGCUGAGGAGCGAAAGUGUGGGUAGCAAACAGG